UCCUCCUCCUUUUCUCCUUAGAAAAGGAGAGGCCUCCCACGGCUAUCAACCUGCCCUUUUAUUUCCUUGAUGGUGUCCUUUGAAACACAAAAGCGUGAUGAUGACGACGACUACGACGAUGACCGAUGACUUGAAUGUAUAUGCGUGGGAGUACAUCAUGGUGCACACAUAGAGAUCAGAGGACAAGUUUUGGGACUAAGUUUUCUUAGUCUACUGUGGGUUCUGAAAACUGUGGUGUGGUCAGCUGAGCUGUCUCACUGGCCCAUGAAACAGGAAAGCUUUUACAUUUAAAAUCCAAUUGUUCUUAAUGUUGACACUUUUGCUUAGAUUCCUUCGCACUCCCGCUUCCUCCACAUCCUUGACAUGUGCUCUACCACUGAGCCAUACCUCCAUUCCAGAAGAAUGUUGAGAUUUUUGCCAGGCAUUGUAGGCUAUAAUCUUCCUAAAGAAAUGUUUUAAUUCUUACAUUUAAGUCAGUGAUGGAUUUUUACUUACAGUUUUAUAAUUUAUUUAAUUAGAGUACAAAAUAAUGAGUUUCAAUGUGGCAUCUCCACACACGCAUACUGCACUCCACAUAGUAUUUUGAGGGAGGAGUAUGGGGCUGAAGAGAGUCCAACUUUACUCCUUUGCACAUAGACAUUUAGCCGUCCCCGCACCAUUUGUUGAAUAGAAUAUGUCACAAGUCCUGAAAUCCCAGCUAAUUGGGAGGCUGAGGCUGGAGAACUACAAGUUCAAGGCCAGCCCAGGCUACAGAAUGAGUUCAAGGUCAGCACGGAUAAGUUAGUGAGGCCCCAUGUCUAAAUAAAAUGUGAAAACUUAGGGACAAGGAUGUAGCUCAGUGGUAGAAGGUUUAUUCAACACAUACGAGGUUCAACCCCCAGCACCAAAGCCAAACAAACAAACAACAAACAAACAAACAAAUGUACGGAUUCCUCUCCUUGUCUGAAAUUGACCGUAAUGUGUGAGUUUACCCUAUAUCAUCAAUUCUUUGCAGGUCUCCAUAGGAAGAUUACUAUAAGUUUUGAAACCGGGAAAUAAUCAUCUUCCACAUUUGUUCUUUUUCAAGGUGGUGGUGCCUCUUCUGGGCUAUGACUUCCAUAUGACUUUUAUAACCUUCCAGUCAAUUUCUGCAAAAAAAAAAAAAAAAAAAAAAAAAAAAAAAAAAAAAAAGUUGAGAUUUUAAUAGGAACUGCAUUGGACGUCGUUGCUGGUUAAAAUAAAAAAAAAAAAAAACAAUCGAUUUUACACACUCAUUUUGUACCUUAACACACUUCUGAACCUGAUGUGUUCUUAAUUAUGAUUCGUUACUGCUUCCUCCCCGCGGCGUUGUGUUAGACGCUAUAGAAAAAACAAAGAUGUUCUAAGAUGACAUAGGUUUAACUUACUGGGUAAACAGGAGCCAUGUUAGGAGCAAACAAGGAAGUUGGUAACUGCCACUUGAAUGUUACAGACAGUUGGAAUUCUGACAAGACCUUCAGGGCUGGAGAAGUCUGGAGCGGGGAGGGGAAGGAUUAAAGGCUUGCUGUGCCCAUGCGCACCUUCCUUCCUUUCUGCCUUCUUUUUCUCCUCUCGUUUUCUUUCUCUACUUUCACCUGCCGGGGUUUCUUUGAAAACACUGGUAGAGCAUAACCAGAGAUGGCCGCCAGUAACCUGGCUGGUCAUCAGAAUUUCUUGGAAAGCCUUUAAAAUCUAGAUCCCAGUCUCCGGAUGCAGAGCUGCUGUGUCAUGCUCCCAGGUGCUGGGUCACAGAAGGACAACUGAUUUGCAUUUUGAUCUGAUUUUCUGCCCGAGUUGGGAAUUUCUGGGUAUGGUUAUAAUUAUAUCCACAUGUGGCUCGGCAUCGAUCCUCACCCCACCGUACCUCUGUUCCUUUUCAGGACACUCUCACGUCCAGAAGGUCAUAAGGGCACCUGGAUAAGACAUCGUGAGUGAACCUCUAUGGCUUCUCCAGUAUUGAAAGCCACAUCAGUUGCACACGUUUCUAAGAGGGUCCGCUGGUGCACGUGUUUAUGAAGAUGUCUCACAAUAUAAAGAGAUUUCAGUUCUUUGUGCCACCCACAUCCUUGAGUAUGUCUCCUGAGACACACGUGGGAGUCUGUCUGGGGUAUAAAUGAGGAUGGACGUUGCCCGAAAUGCAUAUGGGCUUUUGACUUCACCCGGUUGCUUUCGGGACUAUUGUGCACAGUAAGUAGCUUAAUCAUUUCCUUUUCUCUCAUCCCUGAUUUAUGAGAAUGUCUCUGGGAACCACACCACCAAGUCUGUAAAGUUAGCAUCAGGCUGGGGAGAUUGCUCAGUGGGCAGGAGCUUCUCAGUAAGGCUAACAACCUGAGUUCGAUGUCCCAGACCCACGUAGUGAGAAGAGAGGACUUCCUCACGUAGUCCUCUGACCUCCACACUUGUGCCAAGCCCACUCCACUAAAUAAAUGCAUGUAAAAUAUUUUAAAUCACUAGGAAAUAAACACCCACCUGGGGCUUUCAUAGAUCCCACUAGGGUAGCUUAAGAGGAAGGUUGGAAACAGGCUUCAGAUGGUUGAGGAGCUGAGAUCCUCUCUGCCCCACAUAUGUGUUUGUACAACCACCUAAGACAUUGACACAUGAGUGUUAGUCAACUGUAUGUCACUGUGACUAUAUGCCUGACAGCAUCAGCUAAGGGAGGAGAGAUUCACGCUGGUUUGUAGUUUCGGGCAAUAUAGCCUGUUCCCCAGGGGAGACCAAGGCAUUGGUGUCGGUUGCGCUUUGGCAGAUUAUUCACCUUCUGGUUGGCCAGGAAGCAGAGAGCUUAAUAGGAAAUGGGACUAGGUUUUAACCUUCAAAACUCCACCCUCAGUGACUCACCUCUGCCAGUUACAUCUCCUGCCAUACAGUUUGACAAUCUUCCAAAGCAGCGCUACCAGCUGGCACCAAAUGUUAGCACAUGAACCAUGAGAGAGAGUUCACACUGAACUGCCUACAGAAACGUCUGUCUUUGAUUAGACAAAUCUAUGUUGGCUGUGCUUGGAUUGGUUAAGAAAAGGUUUGCUCAGCAAACCUUGCAGAUACAUAUUUUUGUUUGUUUGUUUGCUUGUUUGUUGAGACAAGGUGGUAUAGAAAUUGCAAUCCUCCUGCCUCAGCUGCUCAAGAGCUAGAAUUACGGAUGUGCACCACCACGUCCAGCAUUGCAGAUGCAUUUGAUAAGACAGCAGGAUGUGAUUUACCAGUCUCCAGGUGGUACUUAAGGCCCUCCCUUCGCCAGUUAUGCUGACAGGAGGUGGUUGGUCCCUUUCUGGAAGCUCUAGAUACGCAUCAAUGCUUAGGACAGGGUGCAUGUCAGAGCCGCCCGGCAGCCUGUUGGGCGGUGUCACUGUGUGGCUUUUGCAAAGCCCGGAGGAAUCUGAGAAGCAAGUGAGAGGAACGAUGCAUGAAAACAAAAGGCAGUGGAAAGAGUGACCAGCCAGCAGGCUCCGGCAGGCUAGAACGCUCUGUCCUUGUUACUGCUGCUUCAUGAAAAUGCCGCGGGCCUUCUGGCAGGGUCUACACGGUAGAGGCUUCCUAGGAAAACAAAGAUGAGGGAUGCGGACCUGGAGGUUGGGGUUCUAGUUUCCCACUUCCCUGUAGAUGCUCCACAGUGAGGUCAGAGAGCCCUGUGCCCCUCAGUAGGUGUCUGCUGACCUUUCCUCUGUCCUGGCUGCUUUCCCAAGAGGUUUUCCCCUCCCACUCACAAGCAGCAAACUCUCAGAGGCCUAGCAGGGCUGGUCUAGGAGAGAGGCUGGGUGGUGCCUGCUCUCUCUGAAGGUCAGCAGAAGGGAGGCAGCAGGGCCCUCAAUCUUGGUCAAAGCAUGUUUGUCACAAAACAGUGACUCUGGUUGGGAUGUCUUCAUUCCCUCCUGCUUUCUUCUGAGUUGGGAAGAACCAGCUGCUGCCGUACUAAGGCAGCCUCUCUUCAAUUUCCAAGAAACCAGGAAAGGGAAGAGCUUGAGUUUUUACUCCAUAGGAGAAUUCUGGAUUCACCUCUUCAGAGUCUCCUUUCUUUGACCUAUAAAAAUACCUGAUUGCAAAGAAGGGACCUAGCCCACAUUCUCUUUUUGUCUUAAACAGUGUCUGUGAGGACAACAAGUAAAAAUAGGCCUUUGCGGAUACAAUAGACUGAACCAAACUGGGUGUGGUUUGCCUGGCAGCUGCACAAGCCCUUGUUUCUUUUGGUCUUGGAAUGCUCCAGACUUGGCCUCUGCCUCAUGAAAUCCUAAAACACUAGCCUGAAAGUGGCUCCUUGGGAGUGAGACUCGGUCUCUAGAGUCAGCCAUUCCCAUCUUUCUGAUCCCCUAGCAUUUCACCCUCAUAGAAGGCAAGCAUUGGAGCUAGGGAGUGGGGGUGUCUCAGUAAGACCACACACACAUACACACACAGACACACACACACAGACACACACAGACACACACACACACAAACACAAACACACACACAGACACAGAUACACACAGACACAGACAUACACACACACAGACACACACACACACAGAGAUACACACAGACACAGACAUACACACACACAGACACACUAACACACACACAGACACAUAUACACACACAGACAACACACACACAGACACAUACACACAGACACACACACAGACAAUACACACACACAUACACACACACAGACACACACACACACACACGGUGGAAAGGGAUUGAGACACCCUCUGCAUACAUAUGUGCACAAAUACACAUACACACGUACACAAGCAUUCAUCAUAUUUCAUUAUAAUUGCUCAUUUGGGAUUGUGCCUUAUUGCACUUCCUUAGCAUCUACAGGCUGUAUUUUAGCAUCAUAGUUCCUUAAUAGGUGUUUAUUAUAUGAGUCAAGGUUUCUUGGCACUUGUAUUUCAGUUUCAAGUUUUUAUUCUGUCUGUUUGCCUGUGUGCUUGCUGAUUUUUUUCAGUGCCAAGGACAGGUAGAAUACCCAGGGACUCAAAACACACUAGACAAGUAGUCUAGCAUUGCACCAUCCCCUCCCCACCACACCAGCCUGCUUCUGUUUCUCAAUUAGCCCUAGCCGCUUCUUCCUUGGGGUGAAACGUGGGCAGUUUGAGCUCAAUGUAGAAUACAGGGUUUGCUACAAUGAAAUGUAAUUUUUUUCCCUAAGGAACUGCUCUCUUAGGAAUGGGUUUCAGAUAUGUCACUUCUGUUACAGGUCCGAGAGUUGUUUUUAGGAAACACUGCCACCAUUACCUCCGAGAGGCACAUCAGUGUCAGUGGUUGUUAUUUUCCAUCUACAGAUGGCCAAAUGGAGGCUCUCUUUUUCAUUUACCAAUUACUCUUCUUAAAGAAAUACGUGAGGAGGAGCGUUAUGGGUUCCCAAGGUAUGAGAGACUGGUUCUUGCUCUGAAGAAGGUUUCAUUCUCAUCCGAAUGGAGAGACAUUUGCACUUGAAGGCAGCUGUGAUUUGGGAGCCCAGGAUGUGAGGUGUGUGAAGGGGUCCAGCAGAACUUCCAAAUGGAAUAAAGAAGGUCAAAGAGUGUCCAGCCAACCGACGUGUGGACAUCAUUGUGCCAUUUGAGCUGAAUAGAUUCUGUGCUAUUUAUUGUCCAUUUAGCCUCUGUUGGUUUCUUGUGACUGCUGUAACAAAUUAGCACAAACUGGUUGACUUAAAACAACAGAAUUUUAUUUUCUUCCAGUUUUUAGAGGCCACAAGUCUGAAAUGAAGGUUUGGGCAGGGUCUGAGUCUCUUGAGGCCUGGAGAGGGGGGUGAUCUGUCUCUUGUUUCUUCCAGUUAGUGAUAGCCUCAGGCUUUCUUUGGCUCCUGGCCACUCCCGUCCAAUCUGUUUCUGUGGUCACAUUGACUCCUCCAAUGUUGUAAAACUCCCCCUGCUACUCCCUGUAGGAAUGUGUGCCACUGAAGUAAGGACCCACCCAGAAUGUGGGCUAAGCCUCCCCUCUCAUGACCCUCAACUGAAAUCACAGCUUUUGCCAUGGAAUGCAGAGAUGAAUCCUGGGGCAGCAGCGAGUGUGAGAAGAGAAGGGAAGCAGAAUAAGACAAGGUGUUCUGCCAGAGGGAGCUUGAGUAUCCACGGAAAGACGGAAUGCCUGCACAAGUGGCUUCGCAGAACAGUAAUGUGCUACAGGAUGAAGCCAUGCCUCAAUAGGAAGGUUCUUGGAUGCUGUAAGAAGGGACCGACGGGACUGGAGAGAUGGCCCAUGGUUAAGAACACUGGCUGUUGUUCCAGGGGAUCCAGGUUGAAUUCCCAGCACCUACAUGGCAGCUCACAACUGUCUGUCACUCCAAUUCCAGAGGAUACGGCCACCCUCACACAGACAUACAUUACGAUGGUCACGUGAGGAUCCAGACACACAAGGAGAACACCAUGUGAAGAUGGAUACUGAAUUGAAGUGCUGCCGUUGUGAGCCUUGGAAUGCCCCUGGCUGAAAAGGAAAUGUCUGAGCUACUGAAGGGAGAUAAAGUUGCAUGCUGGUUAAAUGGCUUCUAGCUGUGAGUGCAAACAUGGAAAUGUACUGAGCCAUUGCAAUGAGGAAGCUGCUUCUCGAACCUAAGAAGGCUGCAGCAGAGCUGCGGGCAAGUUCCUGAAGCAGCUGAGGUCAUUCACCCUUCUCGCUGGCUCAGGCCCGGCCUUCAGCAAGAUUAAGAUUUGGAUUUGGAAAACCUGAGUGACCCAUCAAGACAAAAACAAUGUGAUAAGAAAUUUUCUUUCUCCUCUUGUUUUCCCUGUGUCUGGAGUUUCUUCAAGAACAUGAAAUGAGAGAGAAAACCAUAACUUAAAGGUAUUGAGAUAUGAGAACAUUUUGAGAAGGCACUUGGGUGGCGCUCUGUCUGUAACUGAACCUUGCCUGUGCUUGGCUGGCACUCCCUUUACAGCACGCAGAGUCUUGAGGUCCAAAGCCCCUCUUCCUGCAAAAUGGUUAUCCUGGUGGCAUUGCUCUAAAUAGAAGGACUUAGGUAGGGUAAACAGGAGGAUUGUGAGCAAGCCUUAAGGUUUCUGAUCACUAGAAAAGCAGAUCUUUUAAGAGGGUUUACCAGGAACCUCAGCCUUUAACCUUUCCUGCAAAGGUCAGCUACCACAGGCAUGGGCAUCUAGUUCCUGCUCAGUCCUGAUGGCCUGUAUCAGCUCAAGUCCCCACCCCGAUGACUGUCAUAUCUGCUUGGUUUCCCACCAUUUUGCUUUUCUCUCUACCUUGGCAGUUUGAGCCCCAGUGAAUCUUUCUUUCUGCCCAUAGACCAGUCUAGUUCAGUAAUUUCUCUGCCCCGAGUCUCAGGUAUUAAUCUGCGAGGACGGCCUCCAUCUGGGGACUUUUUUCUGUUCUCAGUGAAGUGGCACAUUCAGUUCCUGGUGCAGCGUCCGUUCGUUUCUUUUAGUCAUUUCACAGCUGUUUGCUGGGAGAAGCAAGACUGAACUACUUGGGGCUGAUUUCACAAGGAAGCUGAAAACAAGGCCUUCCCAGUUCCCGUUUGUGAUUUUCAAGUCAAUAAAGCAUGUCUGUCUUGGUGGAUGUUUCUCUCUAACUGGCUUCAGUUGUCUGCUGAGCUGUCUACCUGGCUUCCCCUUGGCUGGGAAACCUCGGUUUGUGGCCAUCCUGUUACAGGUGGAUGGCUGCCCGGCUGCCCACCG
ensembl:lncRNA